rnacentral:rRNA from 1 species
UACGUAGGGACCAAGCGUUAUUCGGAAUUACUGGGCGUAAAGCGCGCGUAGGUGGCUAAGUGAGCCAGGUGUGCAAGCCCCGGGCUCAACCUGGGAACGGCAUCUGGAACUGCUUGGCUAGAGUGCAGGAGAGGAAGGUAGAAUUCCCGGUGUAGCGGUGAAAUGCGUAGAGAUCGGGAGGAAUACCAGUGGCGAAAGCGGCCUUCUGGA